rnacentral:miRNA from 1 species
CCAUCAAAGUUGGUUUGUCAUA